UGGGGAAUUUUGGACAAUGGGCGCAAGCCUGAUCCAGCCAUGCCGCGUGCGGGAAGAAGGCCUUCGGGUUGUAAACCGCUUUUGUCAGGGAAGAAAUCUUCUGAGUUAAUACCUCGGGAGGAUGACGGUACCUGAAGAAUAAGCACCGGCUAACUACGUGCCAGCAGCCGCGGUAAUACGUAGGGUGCAAGCGUUAAUCGGAAUUACUGGGCGUAAAGCGUGCGCAGGCGGUUUUGUAAGACAGAGGUGAAAUCCCCGGGCUCAACCUGGGAACUGCCUUUGUGACUGCAAGGCUUGAGUGCGGCAGAGGGGGAUGGAAUUCCGCGUGUAGCAGUGAAAUGCGUAGAUAUGCGGAGGGACACCGAUGGCGAAGGCAAUCCCCUGGGCCUGCACUGACGCUCAUGCACGAAAGCGUGGGGAGCAAACAGGAUUAGAUACCCUGGUAGUCCACGCCCUAAACGAUGUCAACUGGUUGUUGGGAAGGUUCCUUCUCAGUAACGUAGCUAACGCGUAAAGUUGACCGCCUGGGGAGUACGGUCGCAAGAUUAAAAGCUCAAAGGAA
rnacentral:rRNA from 1 species